rnacentral:lncRNA from 1 species
GUAAACGGAACUUACAAGAUCGGCCGGGGAUCAAGUUGAUGCAGCCCUGCCAACCCGUACGAACUCGUGAAAAAGAGGAAAGUAUUUGGCGAAGUCGCCUGCUUGAAAGUAAGUACGAGGAAAAAGUAGUUGGUUGUAUUGAUUUGUUGAUGAUUACAGAUGUACAAAGGUAGCUAUUUAUAGCCCCAUACAAAUGACUCCUUAACUGACUAGAAUUCUAUCCCUAAUUCAAAUAGAAAACGAAUAUUUACGAGCACGAUUCGUGCUAGGUUGGUUAUUAUACGCUUCAUGGGCUGAUCUCC